rnacentral:rRNA from 1 species
UCUCUUGGUCAUUUAGAGGAAGUAAAAGUCGUAACAAGGUUUCCGUAGGUGAACCUGCGGAAGGAUCAUUAUCGAGUUUUGACCGGGUUGUAGCUGGCCUUCCGAGGCAUGUGCACGCCCUGCUCAUCCACUCUACACCUGUGCACUUACUGUGGGUUUCAAACGUCGUUAAGCGGGCUCUUUACUGAGCUUGUAGAGCGGUGUCUGUGCCUGCGUUUAUCACAAACUCUUAUAAAGUAUUAGAAUGUGUAUUGCGAUGUAACGCAUCUAUAUACAACUUUCAGCAACGGAUCUCUUGGCUCUCGCAUCGAUGAAGAACGCAGCGAAAUGCGAUAAGUAAUGUGAAUUGCAGAAUUCAGUGAAUCAUCGAAUCUUUGAACGCACCUUGCGCUCCUUGGUAUUCCGAGGAGCAUGCCUGUUUGAGUGUCAUGAAAUCUUCAACUUACAGGCCUUUGCGGGUUUUGUAAGCUUGGACUUGGAGGCUUGUCGGCCGUGUUUCGGUCGGCUCCUCUUAAAUGCAUUAGCUUGAUUCCUUGCGGAUCGGCUCUCGGUGUGAUAAUGUCUACUCCGCGACCGUGAAGCGUUUUGGCGAGCUUCUAACCGUCCUCGUUUGGACAACUUUAUGACCUCUGACCUCAAAUCAGGUAGGACUACCCGCUGAACUUAAGCAUAUCAAUAAGCGGAGGA